rnacentral:rRNA from 1 species
CCUAUGGGUCGUAAACUGCUUUUAUACACCGAGAAAAACAAUCCACGUGUGGGUGCCGACGGUAGUGUAUGAAUAAGCAUCGGCUAACUCCGUGC